UAGCAGUCAGCUUUUCUGUGGGUGUUGAAUUGGGGGAAAAGGUCAGGAAAUGAGGGCAGGAAAGGAUUAUUCCCAUGUCCUGGGGAAAAAGGAGCGAUGCCCUGGUUGUAGAUAGAUGUGAAGGCUCCUGUACCCUUCCUGGGCAUGUGGGCAGCUCUACAAAUUUUUGCUGGUAUACCAUUGAAAUCCAACACUCUAUCCCACCAGAGCCUUGGAAAAGCUUUGUCUUCUGAAGCCACCAUACGCCAUGGCAGAAUUAAACUCAAAGCUCAGCUAAAAAGGGGUGUGGACAGCGGUGUGGUUUUGCCAUGCUGCCAAAAAUUGAGCCCUGUUGUCAUCCUCCUCCCAUUCUUCACCCGACCUGAUGCGCUUUGAGGAAUAACAGGUCAUGUCAGCGUCUGACAAAUGACUCCCGCGAUGCCGAACGUCGCUUUGUGUUACGUGUGCGCGCGACCAGCUGAACCGCGGCAUGAGUUUUGCUAGUCUGCCAUCACUUCUUGAUGCCACGGCAGACCACACAUUGAGCUCUACUGCUUCCAGGAUGAGUCAACAAGGAGAAUUAAAUACAGAUAAAAAUUAAGAGCAUGGAGAUGACAGAGGCUGUGCUGUUGCUAGCUGAAAGGAAAAUAGAUUUUGGACUGCAGAGGGCAGAAAUCAAGAUGCUCUUGGGAUGCCUCCAACCGCCCGUCCCGCAGCAUUGCACCACGAGCUGAAUCAGGAACCAAAUCUAACCCAAAUUAGGUUAGAAAAACUUUGUGGGGCCGCGGCAGUGGACUUGAGGAGAGGAUGUGGAACUGAACUGUCAAAGCCACAAUGGUGAGACCAGCCACAGAAUAGCUCUAGGCUAAAGAUCUUUUUCUAUGUACGUCGGUGCGAGCGGUGACGAGAGACUCUGGUUGCACUGGAGCAAAUAGAUGGACUGACACACUUAGAAGAUAAAAAGCUGAAGAAGGAGUUUGGGGGUAUUUGGGCCACAGCUUAAGACAGAGCCAGAUCUAAGGAAGGAUCAAGAUGCCCAAGUAAUAAGGGUCUGGAUUUCUAGGCCGUUGCAUUUCCGACACAAUGAAGAGCCUCCCAAAAAAAAAAAAAAAAAAAAAAGCUGAAAAACGCCAUCAGGAGCACAACUCCGGUCCAGAAUUGUGUGCUGUGAUGAUUCCUUGUCCCAGGUUGUCCAGGAAAAUCUUGAUGGGCUUAAAAAUGGAUCCCAACGAGCUUUACAGACCAGAUGGAAGCUGGAGGCCUCUUUUCCCACUACAAUGCUUUGACUAACAAAUGAUUUUUUUUUUUUUUUUUUUAAGAACACGCUAUCUAAACCAAAAUAAAUACAAGUUAUUUACAGCUCUGGAAAACCCUCAUAUUUAGAAA